rnacentral:rRNA from 1 species
AUUGAACGCUGGCGGCAGGCUUAACACAUGCAAGUCGAGCGAGCGGCGGACGGGUGAGGAAUGUCUGGGAAACUGCCUGCAGGAGGGGGAGAACUACUGUAAACGGUAGCUAAUACCGCAUACCAUCAGAGGUGCCCAGAUGGGUUUAGCUAGUAGGUGGGCUAAUGGCUCAACGAGGCGCCGAUCCCUAGCUGGUCUGAUAGGCGGACGAGCCACACUGGACUGGGUGCACGUUCCAGCCUCCUACGGGGGGCAGAAGUGGGGAAUAUUGCACAAGGGGCGCAAGCCUGAUGCGGCGAUGCCGCGUGUGUGAUGAAGGCCUUCGGGUUGUAAAGCACUUUCAGCGAGGAGGCGUUACUCGCAGAGGAAGCACCGGCUAACUCCGUGCCAGCAGCGGCGGUAAUAC